CGGCAGAAGCUCAAAUUUGAAAUCUGGCCCCUCUGGGGGUCCGAGUUGUAAUUUGCAGAGGAUACUUCGGGUGCGGCCGCGGCCUAAGUCCCCUGGAACGGGGCGUCAUAGAGGGUGAGAAUCCCGUCUUGGGCCGUGGGCCUGCCCCGUGUGAAGUUCCUUCGAC
rnacentral:rRNA from 1 species